AGAUUUGCUCGUAGGGCGCGAGCAAGUAAGGAAUAAAAGAAAGUCCCACUGAGA
rnacentral:ncRNA from 1 species